AUCUGCUUGAGACUGAAGCCACAGGAGUCAGCAGAGCAGAAAGAUGGAGGGAGAGAAAUCAUUUGAACCCUCGGUCUGGUGGUACCCAAAGUUAGACAACCCCGUGGACUUCUGAUUUAAGAACCUUGGUCAACCAGAGUGUUCUGUCAAAAGGACUGCAGAAGCUGCAUCCAGAUUUGGCUGCACUUGUGUGGGCUGAGCACCCCGUGGCAUCAGAGAAUCCUGCCCACCACCGCCCAGCAGAAAGGUCCAUGAGAACGGACUUGAGAUGGACACUGGCAGAGCAAAGUGAGUCUGAGAUGACUCGGGACUGUCCACUGCAGCUGCAGCUACAGGCAGAAAUGAACUGAGAGGGAAUGACAUGGUGGGCAUGCUGGACGUGUCUGCUACCCUCCCUGACUAUGACCCAGAACUCAGUUCAUGCUCAGCAGUUUGAUAUUUAGGCUCCAUGAUCUAAUCAAUGCAUUUGAUUCUGCAAUUUAAUUGAAGGUACAGUUUGAAAUCAGUGAUAACCUGAAGUUACAAAGUGAAGAUUAACAUCACAAUUGCCACCUUACUCAUAUUCAGGUAGAAUUUAAAUCCUUGCAUUCUCUUCUCUCUCUUCCUGCUGUUUAACUUUCAAAUUUCUCUCUGUAUGCUACUAUCUCUACUUAAGGAUAGGAAUGAAAAAGCAAGGUGUGAAAAUAGAACCUGUCAAAUAUUGUCACCUGUUAGUGUCUUCUAAAAGUCCUUACGGAAUAGGAGGCUGAGGUUAUUGGCUAAAAUGAGGUUUGGGGAUUAUAUGUGAUUUUAAUUUCUCCACACUAUCCAAUUUCUAUAGUUAAUUUGGACAUGACUCAUAACCCUGAAAAGUCAACACAGAACACAGAGAAGAAAGAUGCAUCAACUUCUUAUUAUUGUUGAGGCUGCAUUUCCUGUGUGCAAUGGGCACAGUGGACAAAGGAUACAGAGGAAGUGUGGCAUGGUGAAAACUGCAAACUUUGUGAGUCUGAGUUUUCCCAUUUGCUAGCCAUGAGACCACACAGCCUCAGUUUCCUCAACCGUAAGAUAAGGGCAAUAAUAGCAUCCUUGCAGGGCUAUUUUGGUUAGGCAUAGUGUUUGGCAUAUCCCAAUUGCAUUGUUACUAGUCAAUUAAUAAACAAA
rnacentral:lncRNA from 1 species